UAAGGACCAUCCGACUGCCCCAUGACUGGGGGUCGAGAGAGGGGUGAAGGGAAGGGAACUAUUGUUUCCCCCCCAGUUUUACUGAGGAAGGCUCGAUAUAAUCUCCAUCAGAUGCAUGGCUGCCCCUCACUUUCGUCAAGAUGCUUUCGUUCUCCUUCAGGAAGACUCCAUCCAUUCCUGGAAGGAUGUGGGUUCAGAUCUCCCUUUUUGCUCCCUGCCUGUAUGACCAGGGGCAAACUCCAUGAUCUCUCUGGGCCUUGGCCUCCUUCUCAGGACAAUGAGGAGGCUGGGCUCGGUGAGCUCAUGGUCUUUUCUGCUUACGUGUCUAGGCUCCUGUAACUGGUCUAGACUCUCUUCAGUGCAGAAGAAAAAUGGUGGUGAAAAUAUGAGCAGGACAUGUUUCUGGACCCCAGAGGCCUCCUUUCGGAACCACAGAGUCUCAGACUGAGACGGGAACCACGAGGCCACUGAGGCUAAGCUGCCCCUGAACAAGACGACGGGUGAUCAUCCCACUUGGAUUUGAAGACUUCUGGUGAAGAGAAGCUCACCGCCUUCUGAGCCAGCCCCACUCUGGAAUAAUGUGAGCGUUUGGAAGCUGUCACUGACAUCUAGCCUCAGUCUGCCUCCCGGAAACUUCCACCCACCGCUCCCAAGUCUCCCUCUAGGGCCGAGCAGAACACGACUCGCCCUUUUUCCAACUCCUUAAGUAUUUGAAGUCGCCCAUCAUGUCCCUCCAGGUUAGACAUCCCCUGAGCGUAAUUGGCGUGAACUAAAAGAUGUUGAGCAUCCUGGCGGCCCGGCUCUGGGCGCUCUCCGGCUGUGGCCCCUAAUGCUGGCCACAGCGUUCUUGACGUGGUCUGAGCAGGACAGAGAAGGGGGCACUGGGCGACCACGUUCUCCGAAUGCAGCCCAGGCCGCCAAGAACUCUGUUAUCGGGGGAUCUCAGUUCCUUGCUUUAGCUUCUCUUUCUCCCAGUCAUGAUGGGCGUCCAGCCUGGAGUCUUACCUCUGAUACUAAAUCUGUGGCUGUUGAUGAUUCCUUUAACUGCUUCUGGACCUGGUUUCCUUGUCUGUGUAGAGACUGGAGUGGAUGGUUUCUGUUGUUCGGCCCGUCUGGUUCAGGAUGACUCGUUGGUCAGAAUGUUGAGCCAGACGUGGCCUCCUGUGGCCUUCAUCCAUUGGUCCUGACUUUGGCCCUGCCUCUGCUCUUUCUAGCGACGCGGGGUGACCAGAGCGCCGUGGCCUGGUGCGGCGAGCGGCUUUAGCCUCUUCUGGAGUGAGGACCAACUGGUUCAAGUCUUGUCUCUGACGAAAGCCCGCUGUGACUGUGGGUGGUCCUUUAACUCCUCAGGCCUCCUUCUUGACCUCUGCAGCAUCUGACACCCUUGACUGACCCACUUUGGGACUGGUUUCUCCUUCCUGGCAGCCUUGUCCUCUUGUCUCCCAGAGGGAGCUGGUGGUGAGUGCCGGGAUGGAGUCAGAGCGACCUGGCCUCAGACACUCCUAUCUGUGGGACCCUGGCCAAGUUUCUUAAUAUCUGUCUGCCUCAGUUUCCUCAUCUCUAAAAUAGAGGUAGUGGCAGCAGGGUUGUUGUGAGGAUCAGAUGAGGUAAUAAUGAUAAAGAGUUUUGCCCAGGGUGUGGCACACAGUAGGUGCUCCUGUUUCCUCUGCCCCUCCCGUCCUGGGUUUUUGUGAUGCUGCUCUGCUGUGGGUCUCCUCUCACCUGUUUGAUGGCUCCUUGCUUUAAUCAUUCAUCUUUAACCUGUCCUCUGUCCUGCCCCUUUCUCUCUUUGCCCUCACUUUUCUGGUGAUCUUGCUGGCUGUCUGUGGUUCAGCUAUCACUGUGAAGGUGAUAGCUUUUGGACCUCUGUGUCUAGCCCUCGUCUCCCUCCUGAGCUGCAGCCUCCAUCUAUGUCCACCUGCUGGAUAACUCCACCUAGAUGUUCCAGAGACAUUUCAACACGUCCAGAUAGGACUGACCAUGCUGCUCAGCUCGAGAAGCUUCUAGAGUGGAAGAAAACCAACCAGCUUCCUUUGAUAGGCAAGAGAAUUGCGUGCUGGCCCCAAAGCCAAGAAGACCUGGUUCUCCCUUUGUGACACUCACUUGGCUUGGUUGACUCUGGGCAAAUCACUUAAACCUCUCAAGGCGCAAGGCAACUUUUAAAGACUAUAACAGAAGGGGCUGACUGCAUCGGCAGAGGGAGUUUUCUCACCUGGGAGUUCCUUACACCAAUGAAAUUACAGGUCUGGUUUCUGGAGUAGUGUCUC